rnacentral:misc_RNA from 1 species
GUGAGUCAUCGAAUCUUUGAACGCACCUUGCGCUCCUUGGUAUUCCGAGGAGCAUGCCUGUUUGAGUGUCUUGAAGUCAUCAACCCCUUCUGGUUUUUGUGCCGGAGGUGGGUUGGACUUGGGGGCCUGCUGCCGUGAGGUGGCUCCCCUCAAAUGCAUCGGUUGGACCUGCGGGUCGGACUCGGCCAGGCGUUGUACCAUCCUCGCUUGUAAACGAGAUGUUCCCCUCUAGGUGUCCUCCCACGACCUUGCCUGUGGAGCGGCGGUCAAUGCACCAUUCGAAAUCUGACCUCAAAUCAGGUAGGACUACCCGCUGAACUUAAGCAUAUCAAUAAGCGGAGGA